AUGCCCCCCGCCGGUCAGCCUCCACCGCCGCAGGCUUGCCAAGCGGCUGCUUUCCCGCGCCUCCCUCCAGCCACCUGCUACCUUCGCUACAAGAGUCGCACGUCCUUGCGACCUUCAGCCUUCUUUGCCACCGGCCACUGCUUUCGUGAGCCUCUGCCAGACCGCGUCUCCAGGGUCGCGCCACCGCGAGCUCAUCCUCUCCCGAUUCCGGCUAUUCCGGGCUUGCCAGGGCGGCCAUUUCAGGCGCUGCCUCCCACGCCGAGGAGAAGCUCCGCCGCCGCCUUCUGGGCCAGCCCCUCGGGCUCUGCUGGUAGUGAAGCGGCUAGAGGGACGAAGGUGGUGGUGCGGGCUGCUAGGGUUUCUCCCCCGAGCCGCCCUCAACGACCACAUAGGGGGUUAUCUUCUAUCCCAACGCUGGACAUGGCGUACUUGAUGAUCACCGUCUUCAGUUCAACUAUUCAACACUCUUCUAAGGACGUCGGCGUUCCACCCGAAUACAGAAUCAGAAGAGCUGUCAACACGUCCAAGGAAAAGGUGUCACCUGGAGAUUCAGAUAUUGAUACAGAAACUUCAACAAACUUACAGAAUUCAUCUGUCAUCAGAGGGUACCCAACGAAAUGUUCAGUGCAAUUAGAUAUGUAAAUGAAAAUAU
rnacentral:lncRNA from 1 species